CUGGAGGUAUCAGAAGUGCGAAUGCUGACAUAAGUAACGAUAAAGCGGGUGAAAAGCCCGCUCGCCGGAAGACCAAGGGUUCCUGUCCAACGUUAAUCGGGGCAGGGUGAGUCGACCCCUAAGGCGAGGCCGAAAGGCGUAGUCGAUGGGAAACGGGUUAAUAUUCCCGUACUUGGUGUUACUGCGAAGGGGGGACGGAGAAGGCUAUGUUGGCCGGGCGACGGUUGUCCCGGUUUAAGCGUGUAGGCUGACUUUCCAGGCAAAUCCGGAGAGUCAAGGCUGAGGCGUGAUGACGAGGCACCACGGUGCUGAAGCAACAAAUGCCCUGCUUCCAGGAAAAGCCUCUAAGCAUCAGGUAACAUCAAAUCGUACCCCAAACCGACACAGGUGGUCAGGUA
rnacentral:rRNA from 1 species